GAUGAACGCUGGCGGCGUGCCUAAUACAUGCAAGUCGAGCGAACGGACGAGAAGCUUGCUUCUCUGGUGUUAGCGGCGGACGGGUGAGUAACACGUGGAUAACCUACCUAUAAGACUGGGAUAACUUCGGGAAACCGUAGCUAAUACCGGAUAAUAUUUUGAACCGCAUGGUUCAAAAGUGAAAGACGGUCUUGCUGUCACUUAUAGAUGGAUCCGCGCUGCAUUAGCUAGUUGGUAAGGUAACGGCUUACCAAGGCAACGAUGCAUAGCCGACCUGAGAGGGUGAUCGGCCACACUGGAACUGAGACACGGUCCAGACUCCUACGGGAGGCAGCAGUAGGGAAUCUUCCGCAAUGGGCGAAAGCCUGACGGAGCAACGCCGCGUGAGGGAUGAAGGUCUUCGGAUCGUAAAACUCUGUUGUUAGGGAAGAACAUAUGUGUAAGUAACUGUGCACAUCUUGACGGUACCUAAUCAGAAAGCCACGGCUAACUACGUG
rnacentral:rRNA from 1 species